GAUGAACGCUGGCGGCGUGCCUAAUACAUGCAAGUCGAGCGAACAGACGAGGAGCUUGCUCCUCUGACGUUAGCGGCGGACGGGUGAGUAACACGUGGAUAACCUACCUAUAAGACUGGGAUAACUUCGGGAAACCGGAGCUAAUACCGGAUAACAUGUUGAACCGCAUGGUUCAACAGUGAAAGACGGUCUUGCUGUCACUUAUAGAUGGAUCCGCGCCGCAUUAGCUAGUUGGUAAGGUAACGGCUUACCAAGGCAACGAUGCGUAGCCUACCUGAGAGGGUGAUCGGCCACACUGGAACUGAGACACGGUCCAGGCUCCUACGGGAGGCAGCAGUAGGGAAUCGUCCGGAAGGGGCGAAAGCCUGACGGAGCAACGCCGCGUGAGUGAAGAAGGUCUUCGGAUCGUAAAACUCUGUUAUUAGGGAAGAACAAAUGUGUAAGUAACUAUGCACGUCUUGACGGUACCUAAUCAGAAAGCCACGGCUAACUACGU
rnacentral:rRNA from 1 species